rnacentral:tRNA from 1 species
GCCUUUGUGGUGCAACGGUAGCACACGCGGCUCGUACUCGAAAGGUCCAGGGUUCGAGUCCCGCCGAGAGCA